AAUUGGAAACAGAAUUGUUAGAUCCUAAAACUAAAAAUUUAUCAAGAAUGUAUAACUUGCUGUUGAAAUGGAAUACACAGGAUGAAACGGUUAAAUCUGUUAUGAUUAAAUGGGCACAAGACUUUGGACAUAACAUUAUGUUUGCUGAAUGGGAACAGUUAUGGACCACAAGUAUGAAAUUUACGGCUUGUAAUGCCUUAAGAGAAAAUAUAAUGAAAAUGAUCUACAGGUGGUACUUAACCCCAGCCAAGCUAGCAAAAAUCUAUCAUUUGUCAGAUAGUAAAUGUUGGAAAUGUAAAGAGACUGAGGGCACAUUUUUUCACCUUUGGUGGACAUGCCCAAGGAUUAAGGCUUUCUGGGAAAUGAUAUAUAAUGAAUUGAAAAAGGUAUUUAAAUAUACCUUUCUGAAGAAACCAGAGGCCUUUCUUCUGGGCAUGGUCGGCCAAUUGGUGCGAAGGGAGGAUAGAACUUUUUUUAUGUAUGCUACAACAGCAGCAAGAAUACUCAUCGGAAAGUACUGGAAGACACAAGAAUUACCCACCCGAGAAGAAUGGCAGAUGAAAGUGAUGGACUACAUGGAACUGGCUGAGAUGACUGGCAGAAUUCGAGACCAGGGAGAAGGGUCGAUGGAAGAAGAUUGGAAAAAAUUCAAAAUAUAUCUUCAAAAAUAUUGUAAUAUAAAAGACUGUUAGAAAGAUGUUGGAAAAAGAAAAUUAGGUCGUUUUGGUAGAUAUGAUAUAAAGGAUUAAGCAAAAAUGAGUUGAUGAAAUUGAUGAAACAGAGGAUGUUUAAUUACAUUAUUUUAAAUUAAAAUACGUAAAUGGAAAUAAGGUUAGAAGGAUUUGCUGGAAAUACGAUCUGAACUAGAAUACAAAAUUGGGAGGUGAGAGGAGGUCAUGGAAAUAAGUAAAGGGAAAAGGUUAUGUAAAGGUUUAAUCUGUUUUUGUUCUAUUCUAACUCAAUGCAUUUUUAUAUUUUUUGUUUCGUCUUCUUUUUUAUUCUAUUUUAUUGUUCACUUUUUUCUUGUUAUUUCUCACUUUGUUAUGGUUAAAUUUUUCUUUGUAUUUUGUAUUGUUUUUCCUUCUCUUUUUUGUAAUUUUAAACUUGGAAUAAAUAUCAUUUU